rnacentral:rRNA from 1 species
ACGUAGGGGGCAAGCGUUAUCCGGAAUCACUGGGCGUAAAGCGCACGUAGGCGGUCUGGCAAGUCGGCCGUGAAAGGCACUGGCUCAACCUGUGCAUGUCGUUCGAUACUGGCGGACUUGAGUAGGGGAGAGGGAAGUGGAAUUCCUGGUGUAGCGGUGAAAUGCGUAGAUAGUGGGAGGAACACCAGUGGCGAAGGCGGGUUCCUGGACCAUGACUGACGCUGAGGCGCGAAAGCUUGGGGAGCGAACGG